GGCUUGUAGCUCAGUGGCAGAGCAUUUGCCUAUCAUGUAUGAGGCACUGGCUUCAAUCCUCAGUACCA
rnacentral:tRNA from 1 species